rnacentral:tRNA from 1 species
UCCCUCGUAGUAUAGUGGACAGUUCUCUUGCUUGUCACGCAGAAGACCAGGGUUCGAUUCCCUGACGGGGAG